UACGGGAGGCAGCAGUGGGAAAUAUUGCGCAAUGGGCGAAAGCCUGACGCAGCAACGCCGUGUGAGGGAUGAAGGCUUUCGGGUCGUAAACCUCUGUCGGAAGGGAAGAACGGGCAUUGGUCUAAUAGGCCUUUGUUUUGACGGUACCUUUAGAGGAAGCACCGGCUAACUCCGUGCCAGCAGCCGCGGUAAUACGGAGGGUGCAAGCGUUAUUCGGAAUUACUGGGCGUAAAGCGCACGUAGGCGGCCUUGUAAGUCAGGGGUGAAAUCCCACGGCUCAACCGUGGAACUGCCUUUGAAACUGCAGGGCUUGAAUCCUGGAGAGGGUGGCGGAAUUCCUGGUGUAGGAGUGAAAUCCGUAGAUAUCAGGAGGAACACCGGUGGCGAAGGCGGCCACCUGGACAGGUAUUGACGCUGAGGUGCGAAAGUGUGGGGAGCAAACAGGAUUAGAUACCCUGGUAGUCCACACCGUAAACGAUGGAUACUAGGUGUCGGGGACUUGAUCUUCGGUGCCGUAGCUAACGCGUUAAGUAUCCCGCCU
rnacentral:rRNA from 1 species